AAUGCAUUCAUUUAAUGUUAUUGCAGAUCCGCUACAUUCUUCAAGAAGUUCGGUUUACAGAACCGGAGCCGUUUAAGCAAAGGUGUCCCAGUUUAUAGCUGAGUAAAAGCGGCAAUCCUCUUCUCCCAGCUUCACUUCCACGUUCUCACUAUUCAUACCCAUCUUGCCCAUUUCUUUCUAAAUUUCUCCUUGCACCCACUGGAAAAAAACAGAGUUUUGUUUUUGUUUCCUCAAAAUUUAGAUUAGACAGCAAUAUUCUGAAUGCUUUGCUUAUCUAUGUUCUUUGCAGGAAGCUCAAAGGAUGAUAAACAAGAAAAGGAAAUCACAGAUUGCAAAUUAGAUGGACAAAAAAGGCAAUAGAAAUUCAUAGGGUCCCAAAUCCGUGACAUAAAAGGUAUGAAAUUGUUAAUUGAUAAUUGAACAUAAAUGUAGAACUGAUUGCUACAAAUAAGUAUGGUUACUUUUGUAUCACAUUCUUAAUUAAGAUGGUUAUGCAGUCCUUUUGUAAUUUUGUGUAUCUAUUAGCUCUGUAAUGACUUACAAGUUACACACACCUCAAAAUUUUCAUUUUCUUUCAAACAAUCUUGAUCCGCAAUAUGUGCAGGAUUGCAAUGAAAUAAUUGUGAGCAACAUGUAUAAUGGGAAGGAUUUACAAAGGUUUCAACUAUUGAACUUGCUUAUGCUCUUAUUUGAGCGACUGUAAAAAAGAUUUAGUAGGACAAACUGGAAUUGGCUUAAAUCAAUUUAUCAUUGAUAAUUUGAUUCUGUUAUUCGUAGACCAUUCUUCCGAAUCUCUGAGUUCGAAGCAGAUCAAUUUUUUCAUUUUUAUGUUUAAUUUUAGGAAGAAAUGAAAAUGAUUUUUGCCUUUUUUGAGUGUUUUGUUAGUACUAGCUUGCUGCAUAUGCUAUUCUCUGGGUGUAAAUAUAAUUAUCUAAGUAAGUGCACUUAUUUUUGAACUCUUUAACUGAUUUGUGGUUGCAAUAGGAUUUUUUUUUUCGGAUUUUUCCCAGUCUUUUUAACAGUAUUAGGUUUCUGUCCUGCAUGUCACCAGGCUUAUUCUUUUUUCAAUUCACAUUAAUCACGACUUUAUAGUUGAUUCGAUUUCAUUUUGGCUGCUGUAAAUGGGUUUUCAUCAGCAUGUCUGACAUGAUAAAAUCAUGUCUUUUGGAUUAAUUCAAACAAUGUAAACAUUUCAUUUGUAUUCUUGAUCUUUGUUAA